rnacentral:tRNA from 1 species
GGGGUUGUGGCUCAGUGGUAGAGUGCUCACCUAGCAUGUGAGAGGCACUGGGUUUGAUCCUCAGCACCACA